rnacentral:lncRNA from 1 species
ACUUAACAUUAUCGAAUAAGUUCAAUGGGUUGACUACAAUUUUAUUCUGUUUAUGUCGCUUAAAUGUUGAAUUGUCAUGAAGUAUGUUUUAUCACAUUUUGGAGGUCCUUUUUUAAGCUCUGGACGAUCUUUAUGAAGUAAAAAAACUUUCCAUUGAAGUUGAUUUCAUUUCUCGCAAAUCGAUUAUAAAAUCUAGAUUUACGCAUUGAAACCAAAAAACCAAACAGUAGAUUUGGAAAUUUUCAGUUUUAUUAUUAUUACAGUAUAAACUAUUUACUAUAUAGAUUAUCGAUCUCUUCCUUGUUGUAAACCUAUUUGAAAUAUGUUAUUGCACAUUAAAUAAAGGGCAAAACAGGCUAUAGUCCGGUCUUUAAAAUUUUGUAUACUUGUUGACUAAUUUUACAAUUGUACAUAGAAACUUUUCAUUCCUUUAAAGCAUUCCUUUAAAGCUGUGGCAUUUUUUGUCGCCUUAGUUUUGUUUUAACUCUUUAUUCUUUCGUUUCGUGUUGAAGUAACUUUUGUUUUAAAGAUUUUAGUUAUUUUUUUCUUUACUGACCAAAACAAAAACACACUUUAAAAUUUAUUACUAGUAAGUUUAUGCAAUAUAAUUUACUUUUCUGUUCUUACUAAGGAUAAUGAGUGUUCUUUUAUAUAC